GGAGAAGAGCCAUAGUUUAGUGGUAGAGCAUCUUCCUUGCUUGCAGGAGGUCCGGGUUCAAACCCUGGCAUCUCCA